AACGCGAAGAACCUUACCUACUCUUGACAUCCAGAGAAGCCAGCGGAGACGCAGGUGUGCCUUCGGGAGCUCUGAGACAGGUGCUGCAUGGCUGUCGUCAGCUCGUGUUGUGAAAUGUUGGGUUAAGUCCCGCAACGAGCGCAACCCUUAUCCUUGUUUGCCAGCGAGUAAUGUCGGGAACUCCAGGGAGACUGCCGGUGAUAAACCGGAGGAAGGUGGGGACGACGUCAAGUCAUCAUGGCCCUUACGAGUAGGGCUACACACGUGCUACAAUGGCGCAUACAGAGGGCAGCCAACUUGCGAAAGUGAGCGAAUCCCAAAAAGUGCGUCGUAGUCCGGAUUGGAGUCUGCAACUCGACUCCAUGAAGUCGGAAUCGCUAGUAAUCGUAGAUCAGAAUGCUACGGUGAAUACGUUCCCGGGCCUUGUACACACCGCCCGUCACACCAUGGGAGUGGGCUGCAAAAGAAGUGGGUAGUUUAACCUUCGGGAGGACGCUCACCACUUUGUGGUUCAUGACUGGGGUGAAGUCGUAACAAGGUAACC
rnacentral:rRNA from 1 species